rnacentral:rRNA from 1 species
CCCUUAGAUGUCCUGGGCCGCACGCGCGCUACACUGAGUGUCUGAGAUACGAGUCUGCCUGGUCCGGCAAGGUCUAGGUAAUCGCUAAAAGACACAUCGUGCUUGGGAUAGAUUAUUGCAAAUAUUGAUCUUGAACGAGGAAUUCCUAGUAAGCGCAAGUCAACAGCUUGCGUUGAUUACGUCCCUGCCCUUUGUACACACCGCCCGUCGCUACUACUGAUUGGAUGUUUAAGCGAGGUUCUCGAACUGCUAGCGACUUAGCUUCGGUGAGGUCGCAGUGUGGGAAGUGAACCUAGCUUUGGUGUCUAGAGGAAGUAAAAGUCGUAACA